rnacentral:rRNA from 1 species
AACGAACGCUGGCGGCAGGCCUCAAACAUGCAAGUCUAGGGGGUGUAGCAAUACAUCACCGGCGGACGGGUGCGUAACGCGUGGGAAUAUACCUAUCGAUUCGGAACAACUGAGGGAAACUUCAGCUAAUACCGAAUACGUCCUAACGGAGAAAGAUUUAUCGUCGAUAGAUUAGCCCGCGUUCGAUUAGCUAGUUGGUGGGGUAACGGCCCACCAAGGCGACGAUCGAUAGCUGUUCUGAGAGGAAGAUCAGCCACACUGGGACUGAGACACGGCCCAGACUCCUACGGGAGGCAGCAGUUGGGAAUCUUGGACAAUGGGGGAAACCCGUGAUCCAGCCAUGCCGCCGUGAGUGAUGAAGG